rnacentral:rRNA from 1 species
AUUGAGCGCUGACGGCAGGCCUAACACAUGCAAGUCGAGCGGAGCGGCGGACGGGUGAGUAAUGCCUAGGAAUCUGCCUGGUCGUGGGGGAGAACGUCCGGAAACGGGCGCUAAUCACGCAUACUAUCAGCGGAGCCAAGGUCGGAUUAGAUAGGUGGUGGGGUAAAGGCCGACCAAGGAGACGAUCCGUAACUGGUCUGAGAGGAUGAUCAGUCCGACUGAAACUGAGACACGGUCCAGACUCCUACGGGAGGCAGAAGUGGGGAAUAUUGGACAAUGGGCGAAAGCCUGAUCCAGCCAUGCCGCGUGUGUGAAGAAGGUCUUCGGAUUGUAAAGCACUUGAAGUUGGGAGGCGUUACCAACAGAAUAAGCACCGGCUAACUUCGUGCCAGCAGCCGCGGUAAUAC